AAGUCUGAUGUGAAAGCCCACGGCUCAACCGUGGAGGGUCAUUGGAAACUGGAAAACUUGAGUGCAGAAGAGGAAAGUGGAAUUCCAUGUGUAGCGGUGAAAUGCGCAGAGAUAUGGAGGAACACCAGUGGCGAAGGCGACUUUCUGGUCUGUAACUGACGCUGAUGUGCGAAAGCGUGGGGAUCAAACAGGAUUAGAUACCCUGGUAGUCCACGCCGUAAACGAUGAGUGCUAAGUGUUAGGGGGUUUCCGCCCCUUAGUGCUGCAGCUAACGCAUUAAGCACUCCGCCUGGGGAGUACGACCGCAAGGUUGAAACUCAAAGGAAUUGACGGGGACCCGCACAAGCGGUGGAGCAUGUGGUUUAAUUCGAAGCAACGCGAAGAACCUUACCAAAUCUUGACAUCCUCUGACCCCUCUAGAGAUAGAGUUUUCCCCUUCGGGGGACAGAGUGACAGGUGGUGCAUGGUUGUCGUCAGCUCGUGUCGUGAGAUGUUGGGUUAAGUCCCGCAACGAGCGCAACCCUUAAGCUUAGUUGCCAUCAUUAAGUUGGGCACUCUAAGUUGACUGCCGGUGACAAACCGGAGGAAGGUGGGGAUGACGUCAAAUCAUCAUGCCCCUUAUGAUUUGGGCUACACACGUGCUACAAUGGACAAUACAAAGGGUAGCGAAACCGCGAGGUCAAGCAAAUCCCAUAAAGUUGUUCUCAGUUCGGAUUGUAGUCUGCAACUCGACUACAUGAAGCUGGAAUCGCUAGUAAUCGUAGAUCAGCAUGCUACUGCCUAAUACAUGCAAGUCGAGCGAACAGACGAGGAGCUUGCUCCUCUGACGUUAGCGGCGGACGGGUGAGUAACACGUGGAUAACCUACCUAUAAGACUGGGAUAACUUCGGGAAACCGGAGCUAAUACCGGAUAACAUGUUGAACCGCAUGGUUCAACAGUGAAAGACGGUCUUGCUGUCACUUAUAGAUGGAUCCGCGCCGCAUUAGCUAGUUGGUAAGGUAACGGCUUACCAAGGCAACGAUGCGUAGCCGACCUGAGAGGGUGAUCGGCCACACUGGAACUGAGACACGGUCCAGACUCCUACGGGAGGCAGCAGUAGGGAAUCUUCCGCAAUGGGCGAAAGCCUGACGGAGCAACGCCGCGUGAGUGAAGAAGGUCUUCGGAUCGUAAAACUCUGUUAUUAGGGAAGAACAAAUGUGUAAGUAACUAUGCACGUCUUGACGGUACCUAAUCAGAAAGCCACGGCUAACUACGUGCCAGCAGCCGCGGUAAUACGUAGGUGGCAAGCGUUAUCCGGAAUUAUUGGGCGUAAAGCGCGCGUAGGCGGUUUUUUAAGUCUGAUGUGAAAGCCCACGGCUCAACCGUGGAGGGUCAUUGGAAACUGGAAAACUUGAGUGCAGAAGAGGAAAGUGGAAUUCCAUGUGUAGCGGUGA
rnacentral:rRNA from 1 species